GGAAUCUUCUCAAUCUCCGUCCCGAAUAAUAGCCAAGAAUUUGAGACCCGUGUGCCAUAUUGACCCAAAUCGACCGAGUAGCCGGCGCGAAUCCCGAUCGAGACACUCUGAUUAAGGGAUUACGCCAGCCAUUGACUUCCAAAGGAUGGGCCGGGCUAGCCCGCC